CUUGGGGUAAAUGGAAGUAAAUUGACAGCAAAUGGUACACACGUUAAGUUGUGAAGCGAAACUGACCUUGUGCCAAUCUCUCGACCUUCCCUUCUUAACAGAUGAAUGUCAUUUGCUGCGUCAGUGGUUUGAAGUCAAUAACCAUUGAUACUGUCCUUUGGGAACUCUUGUGCUUACAGAGGCAAUAUUUUAGAAUGAGGACACAGUCUGCUGAUGAGUAAUACUUAAAACAAAUCAUGGAAGAUUUGGAUAGCUCCUCAGUCUUUGGUAUUGAAGUCUCAGAGUGUCACCAACCUUUGGUAUCAAAUACAGUUGGACUGGACAAUUCAUUUUAUCUAAUUCCACAAGGCUGUGACCUUCUUAAAACAGAGGUUUUAUUUGACUGCUAUUUCAUCAGUGCCUGGCACAAGUUCUGUCGUGUAGCAGACAUUUCAUGUUCAAGAAAUGAAUGAAUAAGAAAAUACAGAAAUGAAUGAGUGAGUAAAUUUAGAGUAUAUCAUUUUAUGAAAUAUUUUGUUAAUGAGCACUCCUGAGAUGUUUCCUAAAUCCAGUUAGAAAACAUGAUGCUUCUCAAUCUAGUCGACAAUAAAUGAGUAAUAAAGGUAAA